rnacentral:rRNA from 1 species
AUUGAACGCUGGCGGCAGGCCUAACACAUGCAAGUCGAACGAGUGGCGGACGGGUGAGUAAUGUCUGGGAACCUGCCUGCUGGAGGGGGAUCACUACUGGAAACGGUAGCUAAUACCGCAUACCCUCAGAUGUGCCCAGAUGGGAUUAGCUAGUUGGUGGGGUAACGGCUCACCAAGGCGACGAUCCCUAGCUGGUCUGAGAGGAUGACCAGCCACACUGGAACUGAGACACGGUCCAGACUCCUACGGGAGGCAGCAGUGGGGAAUAUUGCACAAUGGGCGCAGGCCUGAUACAGCCAUGCCGCGUGUAUGAAGAAGGCCUGCGGGUUGUAAAGGACUUUCAGCGGGGAGGCGUUACCCGCAGAAGAAGCACCGGCUAACUCCGUGCCAGCAGCCGCGGUAAUUC